rnacentral:rRNA from 1 species
UAGGGAAUUGUUCGCAAUGGGCGCAAGCCUGACGACGCAACGCCGCGUGGAGGAUGAAGACCUUCGGGUCGUAAACUCCUUUCGACCGAGAUGAAUACCCACCGACCCAACACGUUGGUGGGCUGACAGUAUCGAGGGAAGAAGCCCCGGCUAACUCCGUGCCAGCAGCCGCGGUAAUACGGGGGGGGCAAGCGUUGUUCGGAAUUACUGGGCGUAAAGGGUUCGUAGGUGGCCAACUAAGUCAGACGUGAAAUCCCUCAGCUUAACUGGGGAACUGCGUCUGAGACUGGAUGGCUCGAGUGCAGGAGAGGAACGCGGAAUUCCAGGUGUAGCGGUGAAAUGCGUAGAUAUCUGGAGGAACACCGGUGGCGAAGGCGGCGUUCUGGACUGCAACUGACACUGAGGAACGAAAGCCAGGGGAGCAAACGGGAUUAGGAUACCCCGGUAGUCCUGGCCCUAAACGAUGAAUGCUUGGUGUGGCGGGUAUCGAUCCCUGCCGUGCCGCAGUUAACGCG